rnacentral:rRNA from 1 species
GACGAACGCUGGCGGCGUGCUUAACACAUGCAAGUCGAACGGAAAGGCCCUGCUUUUGUGGGGUGCUCGAGUGGCGAACGGGUGAGUAACACGUGAGUAACCUGCCCUUGACUUUGGGAUAACUUCAGGAAACUGGGGCUAAUACCGGAUAGGAGCUCCUGCUGCAUGGUGGGGGUUGGAAAGUUUCGGCGGUUGGGGAUGGACUCGCGGCUUAUCAGCUUGUUGGUGGGGUAGUGGCUUACCAAGGCUUUGACGGGUAGCCGGCCUGAGAGGGUGACCGGCCACAUUGGGACUGAGAUACGGCGCAGACGCCUACGGGAGGCAGCAGUGGGGAAUAUUGCACAAUGGGCGGAAGCCUGAUGCGGCAACGCCGCGUGCGGGAUGACGGCCUUCGGGUUGUAAACCGCUUUCGCCUGUGACGAAGCGUGAGUGACGGUAAUGGGUAAAGAAGCAACGGCUAACUACGUG